UGGGUAACCUGCCUCAAAGAGGGGAAUAGCCUCCCGAAAGGGAGAUUAAUACCGCAUAAUAUGUUUAGGUCGCAUGACUUUAACAUCAAAGGAUUUUCUUUUAGAAAUUCCACUUUGAGAUGGACCCCGCGGCGCAUUAGCUAGUUGGUGAGGUAACGGCUCACCAAGGCAACGAUGCGUAGCCGACCUGAGAGGGUNAUCGGCCACAUUGGAACUGAGACACGGUCCAGCUCCGUAGG
rnacentral:rRNA from 1 species